rnacentral:rRNA from 1 species
AGAAUCAACGCUGGCGGCGUGCCUAACACAUGCAAGUCGAACGAGAAAGUGGAGCAAUCCAUGAGUAAAGUGGCGCACGGGUGAGUAACACGUGACUAACCUACCCUUGAGUGGGGGAUAACCUAGAGAAAUCUGGGCUAAUACCGCAUAAUACCUUCGGGUCAAAGGAGCAAUUCGCUUAAGGAGGGGGUCGCGGCCGAUUAGUUAGUUGGCGGGGUAAUGGCCCACCAAGACUGUGAUCGGUAUCCGGCCUGAGAGGGCGCACGGACACACUGGAACUGAAACACGGUCCAGACUCCUACGGGAGGCAGCAGUGGGGAAUUUUGCGCAAUGGGGGAAACCCUGACGCAGCAACGCCGCGUGGAGGAUGAAGCCCCUUGGGGCGUAAACUCCUUUCGAUCGGGAAGAUAAUGACGGUACCGAGAGAAGAAGCCCGGCUAACUCGUGCCAGCAGCCGC